UACGAAGGGGGCUAGCGUUGCUCGGAAUUACUGGGCGUAAAGCGCACGUAGGCGGAUUGUUAAGUCGGGGGUGAAAUCCUGGAGCUCAACUCCAGAACUGCCUUCGAUACUGGCGAUCUCGAGUUCGGGAGAGGUGAGUGGAACUGCGAGUGUAGAGGUGAAAUUCGUAGAUAUUCGCAAGAACACCAGUGGCGGAGGCGGCUCACUGGCCCGAUACUGACGCUGAGGUGCGAAAGCGUGGGGAGCAAACAGG
rnacentral:rRNA from 1 species